UGCUGGAGGUAUCAGAAGUGCGAAUGCUGACAUAAGUAACGAUAAAGCGGGUGAAAAGCCCGCUCGCCGGAAGACCAAGGGUUCCUGUCCAACGUUAAUCGGGGCAGGGUGAGUCGACCCCUAAGGCGAGGCCGAAAGGCGUAGUCGAUGGGAAACAGGUUAAUAUUCCUGUACUUGGUGUUACUGCGAAGGGGGGACGGAGAAGGCUAUGUUGGCCGGGCGACGGUUGUCCCGGUUUAAGCGUGUAGGCUGGUUUUCCAGGCAAAUCCGGAAAACCAAGGCUGAGGCGUGAUGACGAGGCACUACGGUGCUGAAGUGACAAAUGCCCUGCUUCCAGGAAAAGCCUCUAAGCAUCAGGUAACAUCAAAUCGUACCCCAAACCGACACAGGUGGUCAGGUAGAGAAUACCAAGGCGCUUGAGAGAACUCGGGUGAAGGAACUAGGCAAAAUGGUGCCGUAACUUCGGGAGAAGGCACGCUGAUAUGUAGGUGAAGCGACUUGCUCGUGGAGCUGAAAUCAGUCGAAGAUACCAGCUGGCUGCAACUGUUUAUUAAAAACACAGCACUGUGCAAACACGAAAGUGGACGUAUACGGUGUGACGCCUGCCCGGUGCCGGAAGGUUAAUUGAUGGGGUUAGCGGUAACGCGAAGCUCUUGAUCGAAGCCCCGGUAAACGGCGGCCGUAACUAUAACGGUCCUAAGGUAGCGAAAUUCCUUGUCGGGUAAGUUCCGACCUGCACGAAUGGCGUAAUGAUGGCCAGGCUGUCUCCACCCGAGACUCAGUGAAAUUGAACUCGCUGUGAAGAUGCAGUGUACCCGCGGCAAGACGGAAAGACCCCGUGAACCUUUACUAUAGCUUGACACUGAACAUUGAGCCUUGAUGUGUAGGAUAGGUGGGAGGCUUUGAAGUGUGGACGCCAGUCUGCAUGGAGCCGACCUUGAAAUACCACCCUUUAAUGUUUGAUGUUCUAACGUUGGCCCCUAAUCGGGGUUGCGGACAGUGUCUGGUGGGUAGUUUGACUGGGGCGGUCUCCUCCUAAAGAGUAACGGAGGAGCACGAAGGUUGGCUAAUCCUGGUCGGACAUCAGGAGGUUAGUGCAAUGGCAUAAGCCAGCUUGACUGCGAGCGUGACGGCGCGAGCAGGUGCGAAAGCAGGUCAUAGUGAUCCGGUGGUUCUGAAUGGAAGGGCCAUCGCUCAACGGAUAAAAGGUACUCCGGGGAUAACAGGCUGAUACCGCCCAAGAGUUCAUAUCGACGGCGGUGUUUGGCACCUCGAUGUCGGCUCAUCACAUCCUGGGGCUGAAGUAGGUCCCAAGGGUAUGGCUGUUCGCCAUUUAAAGUGGUACGCGAGCUGGGUUUAGAACGUCGUGAGACAGUUCGGUCCCUAUCUGCCGUGGGCGCUGGAGAACUGAGGGGGGCUGCUCCUAGU
rnacentral:rRNA from 1 species